UGGUCAAGUUAUUAAGGGUGCAGGGCGGAUGCCUUGGCACUAGGAGCCGAUGAAGGACGUGAUAAGCUGCGAUAAGCUUCGGGGAGUUGCACGUAAACUUUGAUCCGAAGAUUUCCGAAUGAGGAAACUCACUUAGAGUAAUGUCUAAGUAUCAUUAAGUGAAUACAUAGCUUAAUGAGGGGAACUCAGGGAACUGAAACAUCUAAGUACCUGAAGGAAGAGAAAGAAAUUCGAUUCCGUAAGUAGCGGCGAGCGAACGCGGAUUAGCCCAAACCAAUAAAGUUUUCUUUAUUGGGGUUGCGGACAUAUCAUAACGAAGAGGUAUCGUAAUUGAAGAGGUUUGGAAAGACCCACCACAGAAGGUAAUAGUCCUGUAUGUUAAACGAGAAGACUUUAGAUAUGAUCCAGAGUACCACGGGACACGUGAAACCCUGUGGGAAGCAGGAGGGACCACCCUCCAAGGCUAAAUACUACCUAGUGACCGAUAGCGUAUAGUACCGUGAGGGAAAGGUGAAAAGAACCCCGGGAGGGGAGUGAAAUAGAACCUGAAACCCUGCACUUACAAGCUGUGGAAGCACAUUUCUUGUGUGACCGCGUACUUUUUGUAGAACGGGCCAACGAGUUACGUUAAGUAGCAAGGUUAAGCACUUAAGGUGCGGAGCCGUAGCGAAAGCGAGUUUUAACUGAGCGUUCAGUUACUUGACGUAGACCCGAAACCGGGCGACCUACCCAUGAGCAGGAUGAAGCGAAAGUAAAAUUUCGUGGAGGUCCGAACCCACGAGCGUUGAAAAGCUCGGGGAUGACUUGUGGGUAGCGGUGAAAUUCCAAUCGAGCCCGGAGAUAGCUGGUUCUCCCCGAAAUAGCUUUAGGGCUAGCCUCAAGGUGAGAGAUACGGAGGUAGAGCACUGAAUGUCCUAGGGGGUAUUGCACCUACCGAAGACUAUCAAACUCCGAAUGCCGUCAUCUUAUACUUGGGAGUCAGACUGUGGGUGAUAAGAUUCAUAGUCGAAAGGGCAACAGCCCAGAUCGUCAGCUAAGGUCCCUAAAUGUAAGUUAAGUGGUAAAGGAUGUGGGAUUGCACAGACAACCAGGAUGUUGGCUUAGAAGCAGCCACUCAUUCAAAGAGUGCGUAAUAGCUCACUGGUCGAGUGAUCCUGCGCCGAAGAUUUCCGGGGCUAAAACUUACUACCGAAGCUACGGCAUCAGUAAUGAUGGGUAGGGGAGCUUCCCAUACGGGUUGAAGCAUGACCGUAAGGACAUGUGGACAGUAUGGGAGUGAGAAUGUUGGCAUGAGUAGCGAGAUGUGGGUGAGAAUCCCACAGGCCGUAAACCCAAGGUUUCCAGGGGAAGGUUCGUCCGCCCUGGGUUAGUCGGGACCUAAGCUGAGGCCGAAAGGCGUAGGUGAUGGACAACAGGUUGAUAUUCCUGUACUACCGAUAACCGUUUGAGAGAAGGGAUGACACAGUAGGAUAAGCUAAGCACACUGUUGGUUAUGUGUGCCCAAGCAUUGAGGCAGUCAAAGUAGGCAAAUCCGCUUUGAUAAUGCUGGGAUGUGAUGGGGAGCGAAAUUUAGUAGCGAAGUAGCUGAUUUCACACUGUCAAGAAAAGUCUCUAUCGAGGUUAAAGGUACCCGUACCGCAAACCGACACAGGUGGGUGAGGAGAGUAUCCUAAGGCCAGCGAGAGAACUGUUGUUAAGGAACUCGGCAAAAUGACCCCGUAACUUAGGGAUAAGGGGUGCCACCAUCAGGUGGCCGCAGAGAAUAGGCCCAAGCGACUGUUUACCAAAAACAUAGGUUUCUGCUAAGUCGCAAGACGAUGUAUAGGAGCUGACGCCUGCCCGGUGCUGGAAGGUUAAGGGGAUCUGUUAGAGCAAUCGAAGCAGUGAACUUAAGCCCCAGUAAACGGCGGCCGUAACUAUAACGGUCCUAAGGUAGCGAAAUUCCUUGUCGGGUAAGUUCCGACCCGCACGAAAGGCGUAACGAUUUGGGCACUGUCUCAACAACAGACUCGGUGAAAUUGUAAUUCCGGUGAAGAUGCCGGAUACCUGCGACAGGACGGAAAGACCCCAUGGAGCUUUACUGUAGCUUGACAUUGGGUCUUGGUACUACAUGUACAGGAUAGGUGGGAGGCUUUGAAACCAGGACGCCAGUUUUGGCGGAGCCAUCCUUGGGAUACCACCCUUGUAGUACUGGGACUCUAACCAUAGGCCAUGAAUCUGGUCUUGGGACACUGUCAGGUGGGCAGUUUGACUGGGGCGGUCGCCUCCCAAAAGGUAACGGAGGCGCUCAAAGGUUCUCUCAGUACGGUCGGAAAUCGUACGUAGAGUGUAAAGGCAAAAGAGAGCUUGAUUGCAAGACAUACAGGUCGAGCAAGGAUGAAAAUCGGACUUAGUGAUCCGGUGGUUCUGCGUGGAAGGGCCAUCGCUCAACGGAUAAAAGCUACCCUGGGGAUAACAGGCUUAUCUCCCCCAAGAGUCCACAUCGACGGGGAGGUUUGGCACCUCGAUGUCGGCUCAUCACAUCCUGGGGCUGUAGUAGGUCCCAAGGGUUGGGCUGUUCGCCCAUUAAAGUGGUACGCGAGCUGGGUUCAGAACGUCGUGAGACAGUUCGGUCCCUAUCCGUCGCAGGCGUAGGAAAUUUGAGAAGACCUGUCCUUAGUACGAGAGGACCGGGAUGGACGUACCUCUGGUGUACCAGUUGUUCUGCCAAGGGCAUGGCUGGGUAGCUAUGUACGGAAUGGAUAAGCGCUGAAAGCAUCUAAGCGCGAAGCCAACUUCAAGAUAAGAUUUCCCACCGUAAGGGUAAGACCCCAGAAAGACUAUCUGGUUGAUAGGUCGAAGGUGUAAGUGCAGCAAUGUAUUUAGCUUAUCGAUACUAAUAGGUCGAGGACUUGACCAAU
rnacentral:rRNA from 1 species